AUACAUGUAAACAUAACAGAAGCAGAAUGUAGUGUAGAAAAUGGCUGGUUUAGAUAACUUAAGUUUUGACAAUUUAGAAAUUAAAAUUCGCAGCAUAGAACAAGCUCUUCUUCCUCUUACGAAACAGAUUUCCUCGCUUGUAGAACACAAUGAAAGUAGUAAUGUAGGAGGCAUUUUACGACCGAUGGCGAUUGCCAGGGUUGGCCAGGCUGUGAAUGUUGCUGUUGAACGUUUCGUCACUGUUGGGGAAACCAUCGCGGACGAUUAUGCGGAAGUGCGACAGGGAAUGUUUGAAGCUUGUAAGGAGGCCCGACAAGCCGGAAGUGCAAUAGAAAGGAUUUGCGGAGAGGCGGAAGUUGAGAUUCUAUCCGACAGGACAGUAUUAGUACGUGCCGCUAGAUGUCUACUCGGAGCGGUGACUCGAGUUCUUCUUUUAGCAGACAUAGUCGUAGUCAAGCAAUUGCUAUUAGCAAAAGACAAGGUCCAGCGGAGUCUGGGACGACUGGAGUCAGUGAACAACUUUACGGAGUUCGUGAAAGCUUUCAGUCAGUUCGGUGCUGAAAUGGUGGAAUUGGCGCACUUGACCGGCGACAGGCAGAACGACCUGAAGGAUGAAAGGCGGCGAGCUCAAAUGGCAGCCGCUAGACAGGUCCUCGAACGUUCCACGAUGAUGCUUUUGACUUCGAGCAAGACGUGCCUGCGACAUCCUGAAAGCACGACAGCCAGAGAAAACAGGGACACCGUGUUCUGUCAGAUGCGGAGGGCCAUGGAUCUGAUACAUUACGUGGUCAAAGACGGUGUUCUCAACUGCGUCGAGCCCUAUUCUCAAACUGAUAAUUGUGAAGACUUCGAAGCCGAACGUUCGUCUUUGUGUUCGUAUAUGAAGCGAUUGCAGAGCCUGCUUGAGCUUUGUAGAGUUACCUUAGAUCCUUCUUAUCAAGAUUCUAUACCGGCUGCCUUGGAUGCUAUUUUAGAGCGAACUCAGGAUUUUACAGAUAGUGCCUAUACAAGUCACGAGCAUCGUCAAGCUAUUUUAGAUGGAAUAGACAGGCUGCGGAGCGAGCUCGAUCACUUGCUCGGCUUGUACGCGAACUUGAUGGCAAUCGAGGGCGCAACAAGUUGUCCUGAGCUUGAUUCUUGCGUGUUGGCAACUUUGGCGGAGGCCAAGGACUUGUCUAGAGAAUUGCUCCAGGCUGCCUUACAGCAAGCUCAGGAACUCAGCGCAACCACGAAACAAAGUCAGGAACUUAUUUCAGCCAUUCGACAGCACGCAACUAUUCCAGAUUCCGAUAGACUUCAUCAUACCUCUUGUGCCUUUCAAGAUUCAUUAGAUCACAUAUUAGAGGUAUGUAAGUUACUUAGACACGUAGCAAUGUCGGAGACGCUACAGGUGACCGCUAAAUUUGCCGAAAUUAAUUUACGAGUAUACGGACCUCAGGUAAUUACCGCUGCGAAAACGGUGGCUGCAAAUCCAAAUAGUAAAAUAGCCCAGGAAAAUUUAGAAGUCUUCGCGGACAUGUUUCAGUGGCUUGUUUCGGACGUUUCGGCCGUCGUCAAGGAAGUGCUAGAAUCUGGACAGUGCCGACCUGAAAAACAAACUUACAUGUCGCUGCCUAGACCAGGGAAACAUGGCACAACAUCAAAACCUCUUAAAGCGGUUCGUUUGGACACUGAGGAACAAGAAAAGAUAGCAAAAUCUGGUUUAGAAAUGAAACUAAUGAGUAGUGAAAUGGACGCAGAAACGGAGAAAUGGCAAGAAAGCAACACGCAAAUGGAGGAAAAUAAUGACAUAGUAAAAAGGGCGAAAAACAUGUCUGCGAUGGCCCUGUCCAUGUACCAGUUCACGAAAGGCGAAGGGACGCUAAAGACAACACAAGAUUUGUUUACACAGGCGGAGUACUUUGCUGAAGAAGCGAACAGGUUGUACAAAGUGAUAAGGCAGUUCAGCUAUCAGGAAAUCCAAAUCCCGCACAGGUUGUCGGUUCACCGACCGGUCAGUGGUGGGACAGUUACAACAUCAGUUGGACAGUGGAUUCUUUAUCGCCGAUUGAAAACUAUUGUUUAGGCGAUUACCAAAAGGAGCAAAUGGUCAAGACAAUCAUGGAAGACCUCUUCAACACCUCGCCACAAGAAAGAAGGGUUGAUCAAAUUCGUAUGUAAUCGCUACAGCAACAUGUCACAGUCAAGGAUGUUAAAACAUGGAGACCAGAGAUACUAUCCAAUAAUUUGACGAAGUUGAUCCACUAAUGAAGUAACAAUGAUUGUUGGUGUAAUUUGAACAACGCAUUAUUAAGGGGUGAAAUUGAUGGGAAAUCUUAACAGCAACGUUCAUCUUGCGGUUCCGCUCAACAUUUGAUGGGAAUGUUGGAAAACUAGAUCCAAAAUAUACGUUGUACAUCGAAUAUGAGACAAGCCUUCACACAACUUACCAAGUACUUCGAGGGUGUGCGUGAUUUCGCGUGGUUCCAGAGUUCCUAUUUGACACACGUAAUCGCCAGCGUCUUGGGGUCCCACCUCCUCAA
rnacentral:misc_RNA from 1 species